ensembl:misc_RNA Metazoa_SRP Metazoan signal recognition particle RNA
GCUGGGCGUGGUGGUGCACGCCUAUAGUCCCAGCUACUCAGGAGGCUGAGACAGGAGGAUCACCUGAGCCCAGGGAGGUCAAGGCUGCAGUGAGCUGUGAUUGCGCCACUGCACUCCAGCCUGGGCAACAGAGUGAAACCCUGUCUCAA